rnacentral:rRNA from 1 species
CUAGUUGGUAGGGUAGUGGCCUACCAAAGUGGUAACGGGUAACGGGGAAUCAGGGUUUGAUUCCGGAGAGGGAGCCUUAGAAACGGCUACCACGUCCAAGGAAGGCAGCAGGCGCGCAAAUUACCCACUCUAGAUACUGGGAGGUAGUGACGAGAAAUAAUGGGGGCACCCUAAAAGGGGGCCGUCUGUAAUGAACGAAACACAAAAGCGUCGGUGAGGACCCACUGGAGGGCAAGUCUGGUGCCAGCAGCCGCGGUAAUUCCAGCUCCAGUAGUGUAUAUCAACAUUGUUGCGCUUAAAACGCUCGUAGUUGGGUUAGAGUGUUUAAGCAGGCCCGGUGUCAUGGACAUGGGGUAGGUUGGAAAGGUUUUUGCCCACUUGUGAGCGUCAACCAUAUGAAAACACAUGAACUAUCGUGUAUUUGGGGGGUUUUGAUUAACAAAACAGGUAACACGGUAAAAUGUGCCUUGAAUAAAGCAUAAUGCUAAAAGUAAGCGACGAAAGCUGGAGUGUAAUAGCAUGGAACGAAUAGUGGCCAAGGGUGCGAUGGUGCCCGUCUCCUUGAAAAAGAGAGGUCUAAAUGACCUAGAGGAAAGUUUGCGGGCACUGGUACUUUGGGGCGAGAGGUGAAAUUCUUAGACCCCCAAAAGACGGACUACUGCGAAGGCAUUUGCCAAAGAUGUUUCCGCUAAUCAAGAACGAAGGUCAGAGGAUCGAAGACGAUCAGAUACCGUCCUAGUUUUGACAGAAAACUCUGCCGGCGUAGGUGGGCAGCGAUCACCCUUGAAGGGUAGAAUCACUGCGGACCUUGGGGGAAACCUGAGCCUUCGGGCUGCUGGGAGAAUAUCGCUGCAAGGCUGAAAUUUAAAGAAAUUGACGGAGAGGCACUACCAGGAGUGGAGCUUGCGGCUUAAUUUGACUCAACACGGGGAAACUCACCGGGUCCAGACAUUGGAAGGAUUGACAGAGUGGUGGAUCUUUCAUGAUUCAGUGAAUGGUGGUGCAUGGCCGUUCUUAGUUGGUGGAGUGAUCUGUCAGGUUUAUUCCGGUAACGAGCGAGACCGUGGUCUUUAUUUGGAUGGAAUGUUGCCGGGCAGUUUUCCAACGGGGAAUUGCCGGUAGCAAUGAAAAUGGAGAGACUAUCGGUGCAAAGCCGGCGGAAGCGCGGCAAUAACAGGUCUGUGAUGCCCUGCGAUGUCCUGGGCUGCACGCGUGCUACAAUGGCAGGAAAAGAAGGUAGCUGGCCCGAGAGGGUCGGCGAAGCGUGAAUUCCUGCCGCGAUGGGGACUGAGCCUUGCAAUUAUUGCUCACGAAAGAGGAAUUCCUCGUAGACGCAGGUCAUGAGCCUGUGUCGAAUACGUCUCUGCCUCUUGUAC